rnacentral:misc_RNA from 1 species
GGAAUAUUGCACAACGGGCGCAAGCCUGAUGCAGCCAUGCCGCGUGUAUGAAGAAGGCCUUCGGGUUGUAAAGUACUUUCAGCGGGGAGGAAGGUGUUGCGGUUAAUAACCGCAGCAAUUGACGUUACCCGCAGAAGAAGCACCGGCUAACUCCGUGCCAGCAGCCGCGGUAAUACGGAGGGUGCAAGCGUUAAUCGGAAUUACUGGGCGUAAAGCGCACGCAGGCGGUCUGUCAAGUCGGAUGUGAAAUCCCCGGGCUCAACCUGGGAACUGCAUUCGAAACUGGCAGGCUGGAGGCUUGUAGAGGGGGGUAGAAUUCCAGGUGUAGCGGUGAAAUGCGUAGAGAUCUGGAGGAAUACCGGUGGCGAAGGCGGCCCCCUGGACAAAGACUGACGCUCAGGUGCGAAAGCGUGGGGAGCAAACAGGA